CACGUAGGGAGCAAGCGUUGUCCGGAUUUAUUGGGCGUAAAGAGCUCGUAGGUGGUUCGGUAAGUCAGGUGUGAAACCUCCAGGCUCAACCUGGAGACGCCACUUGAUACUGCUGUGACUGGAGUCCGGUAGGGGAGCGUGGAAUUCCUGGUGUAGCGGUGAAAUGCGCAGAUAUCAGGAGGAACACCAGCGGCGAAGGCGGCGCUCUGGGCCGGUACUGACGCUGAGACGCGAAAGCGUGGGGAGCAAACAGG
rnacentral:rRNA from 1 species